rnacentral:rRNA from 1 species
GGGCUCAAAUGUAUGUUGACGUAUUCUGAAAGGGAUACUUCUUCGGACAAUAUACAAGGUGCUGCAUGGUUGUCGUCAGCUCGUGCCGUGAGGUGUCGGGUUAAGUCCCAUAACGAGCGCAACCCCUAUCAUUAGUUGCCAUCAGGUCAAGCUGGGGACUCUAAUGAAACUGCCUACGCAAGUAGUGAGGAAGGUGGGGAUGACGUCAAAUCAGCACGGCCCUUACGUCCAGGGCUGCACACGUGCUACAAUGGCCGGUACAAAGGGCAGCUACCUGGUGACAGGAUGCUAAUCUCAAAAGCCGGUCUCAGUCCGGAUCGCAGUCUGCAACUCGACUGCGUGAAGUCGGAAUCGCUAGUAAUCGUGAAUCAGAAUGUCACGGUGAAUACGUUCCCGGGCCUU